ensembl:snoRNA
AUUGAUUCAAAGAAGGGGCCUGAAGAAUGACUCCUCUGUUUAUAACAAACCCAACCGGAAUCUGGGGUCAUUGUGAUGGGGGGCACAAAACUUAUGGUCUCCCCAUGCACGAACUCCCUCCAUGU